rnacentral:snRNA from 1 species
GUGCUCUCUUUGGCAGCAUAUAUACUAAAAUUAGAAUGAUACAGAGAAGAUUAGCAUGACCCUGGCACAAGGAUGACAUGCAAAUUUGUGAAGUGUUCCACAUUUAA